GAUGGCGGCCGGUUCAGGGGCUGCGAGCGGCCCGGGAGCCCGCGGCUCCAACGCUGCUCUGGAGGCGACGUUGGACCGGCGCUUCCAAGGAGUAUCCAACACCAUGGAGUCGAUACAGGGACUUUCAAACUGGUGCAUUGAAAAUAAGAAGCACCACAGCCUUAUCGUUCGCUACUGGAUGAAGUGGCUCAAGAAGUCUGACGUCAAUCAUCGCCUGAAUCUUUUCUACGUUGCCAAUGAUGUGAUCCAAAACUGCAAACGAAAGAAUGCGAUUGUGUUUCGCCCAGCCUUCUCCGAGGUCCUUCCUAAUGCUGCUCAGCUCAUCAAAGAUGGGAAAGUCCGCAAGUCGGUGGAAAGGAUCUUUACCAUUUGGGAGGAGAGGAGUGUGUAUCCAGAAGAGGUCAUUUCCAAGUUCAAAGCCAACUUGAACAGAAAGGAAAAGGAGAGAGAAAAGGAGCGAGUGAAACAGAAGGAGAAGGAGAAGGAAAAGGAAAAAGAAAAGGAGAUUCCACCUGCAAAUGCCACCACCAGCACCAAAGCUGCACUGAAGUCCAAAAUUGUUGCAGAGUUCACUCCCCAAUCGCUAAUUGAACAGUUGUUGAGAUCUAAGCGAGCUGUUGCUGAAGAAGAGUUCAGGGAGAAACAGCUCGCAGCUCUCAGAGUGGAUGUCUGCAGCUCCGAAGCCCUCAAGAGACUCAAAGACAAAGCAGGAGGGAACAAGUUUGCCAAAGAUGUUGAAGAUGGCAGCGUGAAGCUGCAGGAGUAUGUCAGCUUCCUAGAGAAAGAAUUGAAAACGGGGCCUCCUCUGCUGGAAGCUUUGGGAAAUGCAGACGUCUUCUACGAGACGCAGUACAAGGAAGUUAAGAUUGUGGCUAAUGCUUACAAUGCCUUUGCCACCCGUGUGACCAGCCUUAAAAGGAAACUGGAUUCUCUCAAGUCAACGCUACCUGGACCUGAAGACUCUCCCAUCCCUUCUCCAUCUGAAGACGCCCCCUCGCCCACCGGCUCUGACUCACCUUUUCUGGAAAUGGGAGUUAGUAGAGCCCAGGUCGAUCCAGAGCUGGAUGGCAAAGCCAUGGAUGAAGGAGAAAUGCAAAGUGAAAACAUAGAAACAGAAGACAUGGACAUGUCUGAUGAAGAGAUGGACACUGCUGCUGAAGAGGACGACAAGAAAGAUCCGCCAACCACGGCUGCUUCCAAGACUACGCUGACGAAGCUUCCAAGCACACCUACAAAAACGUCAAAGACCAAUGCUGUUCCCCCCAUGGCCAACCCAGUCACCCCAACAUCCACUAAAGCUCCAGCUGCUCCAACCACCCCUUUGGGGGUCAAUUUGGCCAAGGUGGACCUCGGAAAGAUCAGCUCCAUUCUCAACUCACUCACAUCUGCCAUGAAGAAUACAGCACCUAGUCCGUCACCUCGCCCGUCACCCGGGACGCCCACUACCCCCACUGGCCAGUCGGCAACCUCCAAAGCAGCCCCUCCGAGCCCUGCCCUGGCCAGCAUCCUGUCACGUGUCGACAUUACCCCUGAAGGGAUACUCAGUGCUCUGUCUAAGACCAACACACCAGCUUUGUCCUCUCUUUUGCAAAGUGUGACUAACAACUCCUCUGCACCCUCCACCCGAACCUCUCCAGAAACAGCAAGUGUCAAAAACCCACUAACCCCAACCACCCCAAAAACGAAACCUAAUCUGGGGAACAGCCUCAAAUGUGACACACCUGGAGGAUCCAGAGAAUGGGAGAGAGAACGACAGCGGUCCCCUCCUCCUCCACCGCCCCCUGCUCACCCUUCAGCGCUUUCUUCUGUUUCUCCUCCCAGUUUAGAAUCCAAGAUCAACAGCUUCUUGCAGGGCAAUCCAGGUUUUAGUCUGGCUCUAGGUGAUGCCAGUCCUGAUGGGGUUGACGGGACCCCAGUGAGAGAUGAAGCAGCCGGCACCCCGACUCAGGACGAGAUCAUGGACACACCUGGUAGCGUGCCAGAACCUUUAGGCUCAUCUGGACUGCAUAAACUCUCACCCACAGCUUAUCGUAGUGAGUCCUGGGAUGCUGCCAUCUCUCCUUCAAGAGGCAACAGUGAUGGAAAAUUUCUAGCCUCCUCUUCUUCCAGAUACGGAGCUGGGAAAAAAAGCAACACAAAAUUAAAGGACAACGAAGUGAUGAAGAAACGGAUACCUCCUUCCCCCGGUAAUGACAUGAAGGGUUUGAAAGAUGAACAACACAGCCAGCUAAGGAUUAUGGGAAACAAAGGAGUGGGAGAGAGGAGACUUUCAGCUGGCUCUCGUAAACUGAGCACUAGUUCUGAUGAUGGUCUAAUUGGAAAAAGAGAAGAGAAGGGAAAGAAUAAAAUGUCUCCAGGUAGAGAUGGGGAGGUCCAUCGUAUUGAGACACUUGUGUCGCCCCACACUGAAGGGGCACCCAUCCUAACUCUGGGGUACUCUAAUCGGCAUCUUGCUGGAGAACCAAUCAAAACAGUAGAGAGCAUCCGAGUUAUUGGUCGAGGUUCUCGUCGCGGGGGAGGGCCUGGCGGUCGGCCAGGGGCUUCAUUGUGGUAUGAAGAGGAAUACAUGGGAGCUCAGCCUCCUCCACCCCAUGUUCUCCCUCCUCCUCUUAACAUGGGCCAGGGAGGUGCAGAGGACAGGACCCCUUCCAUGCCACCUCCUCCUCCACCUCCUCUCGCUCAUCUCCUUGUCCCACAUCUCCACCCUCCUCCACCCCUCCCCCACACUCAUCCUCCUCCUCCCACUCAGUUCUCAAUGCCCUACCACCCAGACAACAUUCAAACUCCACCAAACCACCAGCAGCAUCCUCCUCCAACAUCCCCUUUCUUCACCGGUCCUCCUCCAAUCCCUCGACCCCCUCCACCUCCACCACAGCACCUUUCACCUCCACCUUCUCUGCCUUCUGCAGUAAUGGUGGGGGGCGUGAUGGUUAGUGUAGAUCGCCCCAUAUCUCUGCUUCCUCCCAUCAGACUUGAGGGGCCAGAUCGUGGCGGACUGGGGCCCAGAGGAAGCAAAUUGCCCCCCCUGCCACUUAUGUCGUCAUUGUUAGGCGAGCCCCCUAAGCUUCCCCGUCCCGGCACAGUUAAAGAGCCUUUUGUUCCCCGCCACACGCCGCCCCUCCACCGCCCAGGUACCCCUGGUGUUCCUCCACCUUUGCUGGGCAGAGUGAAGGAGCCUUUGAAUCUACCUCUCCCCUCCUCUUCUCCCUCCCCCACAUCUUCCACAACCUCUCCCUCCACUCCCAAUUCCCCCGCCGUCGACACCGCUCCUGUUCGCUCACCUGUUCAGUCAGCCGGUCAGAAACCUCCCACUAGUCCUCCCGCUCAGUCCCGCAACCAAGCCUCUAACCCUGUACCUCUCCUUAACAUGCCCAGUCCUCGACCCCCAAUCCUUUCCUCUCCCAUGUCACAGAGACACCCGCUGCGAGGUCGACCCCCGUCUCAAGAUCACCCCAGAGGCGGGUUUCAUGGGGGAAAGCGAGCUGGCCCUCCAUUUGCAGGUGGGCCUUUCCACGCGCAGAAGAGGCCUUUCCUGCCGCCACGCUACUGACGUGUCAUCACUGACGAGCCGAAUGAGAAGUUCAAGCUACACAUCUAUCAGUGCAGUGUGUGUUAGCCCUGCUGCUGCAGGUGUCACCAGCUUUGUCUGGCCGGUUACGGGUCUUUGAGUCGCUAAAGGAAAAACAAGGCAGUAUCAAGAGGGCGGAAGUCACAGAAAAGCCCCUCAGCGUCCACCUUGCUGAUGGCCGGACAGUAAAGGGA